rnacentral:rRNA from 1 species
AGUGAACGCUGGCGGUAGGCCUAACACAUGCAAGUCGAACGGCAGCACAGGAGAGCUUGCUCUCUGGGUGGCGAGUGGCGGACGGGUGAGGAAUACAUCGGAAUCUACUCUGUCGUGGGGGAUAACGUAGGGAAACUUACGCUAAUACCGCAUACGACCUACGGGUGAAAGCAGGGGACCUUCGGGCCUUGCGCGAUUGAAUGAGCCGAUGUCGGAUUAGCUAGUUGGCGGGGUAAAGGCCCACCAAGGCGGCGAUCCGUAGCUGGUCUGAGAGGAUGAUCAGCCACAAUGGAACUGAGACACGGUCCAGGCUCCUACGGGAGGCAGCAGUGGGGAAUAUUGGACAAUGGGCGCAAGCCUGAUCCAGCCAUACCGCGUGGGUGAAGAAGGCCUUCGGGUUGUAAAGCCCUUUUGUUGGGAAAGAAAUCCAGCUGGCUAAUACCCGGUUGGGAUGACGGUACCCAAAGAAUAAGCACCGGCUAACUUCGUGCCAGCAGCCGCUGUAA